UCGCCGGAGAGUCACGGAUCCGUCCCCUCCGUCGCGGGAUUGGCCGGAGUGCCGCUGGGACGCGUCUCUGCCUCCUCGUUCACGUCGCCUCCUUCUACCGCCUAUGUUGCCGUCGCCUACAUGUCUAACAGGUGCCACAUUGAACUCAUCUUGUCCGAGAAGGAAGAGCCAGUGAAGAAAGAGGCUGAGUCCCAGAUUGCACCAAGAAGGCUCAGAGGAAGAAAGCUUGGUUUAAUUGUUGGCUUAUUCGUUAGAGCAUCUUGUAGCAUCUGGUUUUGGCUGAGUGGAAAUUUUGGCUUGUUACCGUCCAAAUACUGCUGGAUAUUACUUUGUGAACCGUUGAUGACCCCCCUGUGUACGAGAUCGAAUCUGGUUGUGUUUUGGGAUAUUUUUCAUAUUGGUGUCU